CCCAUUCCCCUACCCUCUUGGCCGCCCCCCCCCUCCCAUCUCCUCCUUUCUCAAGCACUUGCAGCCACACAUCAAACCCUAGCCGCCUCCCCCCCAUCUCCUCCUCCCAUGGUGCCAUUCGUUGCCGCUCGGAUCUCCGUCGCGUGGUGCAACUCUUCAACGGUUUUCGGUGGAGGGAGGAAGGGAGGAAGAAAAGGGGGAGAACCCAAGGUGAUUUUUGUGUUUAUCUCUUGUUCAUUUUAUGCGGCAAUCCAAUUGUUUAGAUGUUGCGUGUGCGAUUUGGUAGAAGGGCUGUCCAGAAUUUUAAGGGGUGGACGAACAGCAGCAGGAUUAGUGAUUUCUGGGCAUUUUUCGUGGAGAAUUAAGGCUAAUCAGUUUGGGAAUCAUGUAGAACUUUGGCAUACCUUUCUAACGAGUAUUUAUGCGCUCAAUUUGGAGUUAUAAAUUAAAAGUUAUCACCGUUUGAAACCGGGUAGGUGGCUGUCCAAAAAAACAGAUUUUCAGGGGGAUGAACAGCAGCAGUAUUAGCAGUUUCUGGGGAUUUUUCGGGAGUAAUUAGUGUUAAUCAGUAUGAGAAUCAUGUAGUGCUUUAUCUUAUCUUUCCAACAAGUACUUAUGCGCUCGAUUCGGAGUUAUAAUUUAGGAGAUAUCGUUGUUUGAAUCCGGUUAUGUUACUGUCCAAAAAAAACAGAUUUUUCAGGUGGGUGAACAGCAGUGGUAUUAGCAGUUUCUGGGAAUUUUUCGUGGGUAAUUAGUGUUAACCAGUAUGAUAAUCAUAUAGAGAUUUGUCUUAUCUUUCCAAUGAGUACUUAUGCGCUUGAUUUGGAAUUAUAUUUUAAAAGAUAUCGCUGUUUGAAUCCGGGUAUGUCGCUGUCCAAAAGACAAAGAAAAACAGAUUACAGGGUUCAUCUUGUGGACUGUUUUGGGCUAAUUAGAUAUUGGAAUUUAAUUAUAAAUUGUAUACAAAACUUGUGGGGAAUUUUAUGUAGAUGCCUCUGGAGUUUUUGUUUGUUACCGCUGCUGUCAUAAUUUUAAAGUUAUGAAAUUAUUAAGCAGCGCCGCUGCAGUUUGGUGGGUGUAGGGAGAGAUGUAACCCGCGGCGGGGUUUGAGUUUGUGCGUAGGUGCGACGUCGCUUAUGAGCCUGAUUAUGUGAAAUUGGUGCACUAAGUUGGGUGUCAAAACAGGUGGUGAACUUCCGGAUCGUACUUAGUGAUUUGCCCGAACUUCCGGUAAAGGCAAGUAAAUACAGUGGUGGUUGCUACCGUUUGGUUUGCAUCCUAUUCCCUGUCAUUGAGUAUGCAUAAGUUUUAAUUAUGUUAAUCAUUGAAUUCUAUGAUGAAGUUUAUUUGUUUGGAAGUAUUAAUUCUCAAUUGUCUAAUAUUGUGGAUGAUCAUAAUUUGGUAAUGAUAUAUUUGGUUGAUUCCCAUCUUGGAUGAAGUUGAAGUAUCUUUUUGAAUCAUGUUAUAUGAAGUGUUGUAGGCAUGACAUGCACAUCGCAUCAUCCAUCUUGCAUUUUGAAGUUAUGUCGUGAUCUUAUGGUCCGACCGUACCGGUACAUUUUUAGCAUCGUACGUUGCCCGAGGAGGGGUACGAUGCGGCUUCAUAUCCUUAGUGGUAUGAAGGCAGAUGUCAUCCUUGCAUUUGUAGACAUUUGCACUCAUGAGGAAUAUAUGAAGUGUGACAUUACUAUGUUACUAUUGUGGUUUCUACCUGCGAGGUGUGGUAACUAGGUGUGUUGUACGUUGUAUGCGUGUUGCACCUUCGUAAUAAGAAGGUUGUGGAAUCAAGUGGUGGUAAAACAAUGUUCUUAUGUGGUUAAACUGUUUGAUAUUAUUUUACUUGCUGAGAUGUGUCAUCUCACUCUUGCAUUACUCAAUGCAGGUACUUGAUACAUGUUGGAAAUGAGGGGAGUAGCGGCACGUCCACUUUUACUCUCACAAUAACGCUGCCCAGGCGCAGCCAUGAUUUAAUUAGAAACUUAUUGUCAAAGGAAGUUUGUUUUCUUUAUAUGGUCGUGCGCACUGGUUAAUUCAGUUCAGGUCGUAUGUUUAUCUUUCCUUGCUAGUCGAUUAAUAAUACUUAGUAUGUUUUAGUCCUAAUAUAUGUUUAUACUCUGUUGCCC
rnacentral:lncRNA from 1 species